GCAUCACCAACGGCGAAAAGUGCAGUGUGUGCGGUUACAGCAAUCAUAAAGCUGACAAGUGUCGUUUUAAAAGUUAUAAAUGUAAAAAGUGCGGUAAAAAAGGCCAUUUGCGUCGUAUGUGUUCGUCAAAUAAAGUUCAUUACGUUGAUGAAGAGUCGGUGGAUGACGGUGAUGAUGUGUUCGCAGGCUAAACAUUACAGUGGAAAAGUUAGACCUAACUUUACACCACAAGAUCGUGUAUGGGUAAAGAAGUAUCUCACUAACCAAAAAUUUAUAUGGAUCGAAGGAGUUAUUAUAAAAAAGAUUGGAGCCGUUAUGUAUACGGUAUACCUACCCGAAUAUAAUUUAGAGGUAAACAGACACGUAGACCAAUUAAGGUUUCAAGGCGGACAAGAUGUACCAGUUAUAGAACACAAAGAACAUAAUUGGGAUCCAGAUAUAGUGCCAGACAUAGACGGCGCAUUAUCAUCGCAGCCCUCAGCAGGUAUCUCCGCGGGCAUUGCUACAGAAUCAGCUGAUGACACAUCAACAAACGAUAACGUAGUAAACAUCGGAGAGGGGACGAGUGGGACCGAAGUCUCCUCGGCGGCAGCGAAGUCGCCCGAAUGCCCCCGAACUACUAACACAGGUGUUCACACGCACACAAGCGACGCUAAUGAACAUUGUGCGGGCGCACCCACGACUAGGUCUAGACGUCCACGCGCCAAAGUAGAUUAUAAGCAGUUUUAUUAACUAUAGUUAUUUUGUUCUUGUAGUCUUAAGUAUAUGGGGGAGGGAUGUUAUGUAUGUAGGUAUAUACUUCGCACCGCUGCGACGGUGCCCGUUGACGUUUGAAAUAAACCAGUGUGAAACUA